CACCAUGUAAGAAGUCCCCGGAUCGGCAGAGGAUGACCAACGGGUCCUUGACUCUGCCGAUCAGAUCCGGCGCCGAGCGGUCGCAGCUAUCGAUGCCCUUCUGGGUGACCUGUAAAAGUACUGACAGCUCUUGUACAAUCAUUUAAUGCCCCUUUUGACCGUCCUUUGCGGCGCACCCUUUAUUUAUUACCUUUUUUUAUUUCCGAUGGGACGCAUCUUACCAAACAUCUACGCCUCCCUUUCUUAUAAAUACCGGCCUAGGCCCCCGUUUCGAGAGUACCAGUCUAGCUCGGCUUCAUCUUCCCAACCUGCUUUCGUCGGUGCACCUUUCAGUCAUGUCUUCUUCAUCCUCUUCCUCUUCCUCUGUUAACCAGGUGAAAGUUCUGCCUUCAUCCUUUUUCUCAGUUUAGAUCUUCUGAAGGGAAUCACCUUUUUGAUCGUCACUUUCUACAGCUACGGCGCCUUAGCCCUGAACUCGAACGAGCCAUCGCACUCAUGCACUCCGAUGAACCGUUGUCGCAAGAGGACAAGGACUUAAUCAGGGCUCAUCGUGACGAACUCCAAGAGCAUGUCCCCGCUGACAUCCGACGGAUCUGGGAUUUUCUGGAUGGCAACGCCCGCCGGCGACCUCAAGCCGACAGAAGCCAUCUGCUUCCUCAACAAGUCGC
rnacentral:lncRNA from 1 species